rnacentral:piRNA from 1 species
UCAAGCGUGACCAGAGUGGGUGCUGA